UUAGACGAUAAGAGGAACCAAAAAAAUUAAUUUACGAUAUAAUAGAAAAAUCUUAACCUACUAUCUCUGUCUACUAUAAUUAGUAAUAAUUAUUGGAUAGGGUGCAUCCGUAGAUGCUAGGAUAAGUUGACAUUUAUACCCUACCCCUUCGGGGGGGUGGUGUAGUGUUCUGAAUUUUAUUACUAUCGAUUAUUAUUCCCUUGAUCAUUUAUUAUUUAAUAAUUAGUGUUACGGAUGUUAAACUCAGUUAAUAUAACUUUUUAGGACAUUAUAUUAGCUUAUUAAUAUCUUUUUAUAGAUAAAAUUGAAGAAAUUUAUUUUUAUUUGUAAAGCACAAAGUUUUAAAUUAAUAAUUGAUUAUUACAGUAAUAAAGUCAGCCAUGAUAAAUUAUAAUAGUUUGGUGUCACAGAAUCGGAGGCCUCGACUGUUUACUAAAAACACAAGAAUGUGCAAUGAUAAAAGUCAUAGUAUACGUUCUGAAAUUUGCUCGAUGCCAUUAAUAUAAAAGAGGUAAUAGGUAACUGUUACUAAUUGAAAAUCUGGUUAAUAGCGGUCUUAACUAUGAGGAUCCUAAGGUAGCGAAAUAAAUUGGCCAUUAAAUGUGGUCCGGUAUCAAUAAUGUAACGAAGGUCUCACUGUCUCUACAACUUGCUCAGUGAAAUUGAAUUACCCGUGCAGAUGCGGGUUACCCCCAGUGGGACGGGAA
rnacentral:rRNA from 1 species